rnacentral:rRNA from 1 species
AUGGAGGGAGUAGAAGGCUUGAUGAAGGGCCUAAAGCUCUCAGAUGCGGAGAAGAAGGGGUUGAGGAUCAGUGUAAAGGAAGGAGGGAAGAACCCGGAAGGGCUAGGAUCGGGACCGAGGGCGGUGGGGAAGCUGUUCUCGGAGAGGCCAGCACAUGCCUCGAUAGUCGGCCACACACUGGGGAGGAUUUGGUGCCCGAUCAAGGGUGUGGACUAUAAGGAAUUGGACGAGAACAUCUUCCUGUUCACCUUCAAUCAGGCAUCCGGGUGGAGGAGGGCGCUAGAGGAGGGGCCGUGGUGGUUUGAUAAGGAACUUCUGGUGAUGGAAGAAUAUGAUCCGGAGAAGACGCCUGAUGAGUAUGACUUCAGUUUCAUUCCAAUCUGGGUGAGGGUUUAUGGUCUGCCGGUAGGGUUGAUGAACAGGGAGGUAGGAGAAAAGAUAGGAGAAGACAUUGGUGACGUGGUAGACAUGGAUGGUGGCCCAGAUGGCACGGUUGCCGGCAAAUUCCUUAGAAUAAAGGUCAGACUAGAUAUAAGCAAGUCGUUGAUGAGAGGUUUUCUGCUGGAUAGGGGUGAGAAGAGUAGUGCGAAGGACAUGAAUAUAGAUGAUUGUGGUGGCAGUAAGAAAAGGGAGGUGCUGUGGUGCAGAUUUGAAUACGAGUACUUACCAGACUUCUGCUACACUUGUGGCAUCAUUGGUCAUCGGGAGAAGGAAUGCAGUACCAGAGUAAAGAAGGGGGAGGCACCGCAAUUUGGACCUUGGCUGAGGGCGAUGGACGAAGGGAGGCGGUCUGGGGAUGGGAGCCGAUCAAGGAACAACAGUGGAAGUGGAAGUAAAAAUAGCGGGCAGAGUGGAGAAGGUAGAGGAGGACAAGGUGGAGGAAGAGGGGGUCGUAGGAUGAGUAGUUUUGGGUCGGGAGGAGGAAGAUCAGGGAGCGAUGGGCCAUCAUGA